AUCUUUCAGUCCCAGCAGCCCAGAACUCAGUCAGGUGCUGCCAGCAUUGCAAGCAGGCCCAGUGUGAAUGCCCCAAUGGAUCCCGGACUCAGCUAAGUCAGGGGUGUUGAGCGGGGAGCGAUCAGGUGCUGGAAUGUCCAUAACACCUCAGUUCAUGUCCUCAGACUGCUGCAAACUGAACACUGAAUUGAAGGAUGUGCUCUUACCAUCGAAAGUUCAGCUGAUUAAUACCCAAACCUGUUUUCUGUACUGCAAACUUUAGAGAAAGGGUUUCCACCUGGUAACAUCAAUCUGCUUCUAAUGAAGAAUCUCCAAUCAGCAACAGUCAUCUGUUCCUGAUGAAAGAUCGCGGCUUAGAAAUGUUAACCUGCAUCUGAUGAAGAGCUUUCACCUGGUAACAUUAAUCUGUUUCAGAUCAAGGGGUCUCCACUCAGCAAUGUCAACCUGUUGCCAGUGAAGAGUUCCCACAUGGCGAAAUUAACCUGUAUCUAACAAAGGGUCUCCAGGAGUUACCUCUUGCUGAUAAAAGGUGUCCACAUGCUGAUGUUAACCUGUUUCUGACUGAAGGGUCUCCCAUUCAUUGUUAGACUGUUGCUGAUGACCAGUUUUUACCCAAUAACAUGAACCACGUUUAACUUUUGCCAUUGGGUUUUUACUUCCAGCCCUUUGCUGUUUGUAUUGUGGAAUUAAACCUCUGAGCUCUUUUCAGCUCAUAUCUUAAAUGUU